UACGGGGGGGGGCAAGCGUUGUUCGGAAUUACUGGGCGUAAAGGGCUCGUAGGCGGCCAACUAAGUCGGACGUGAAAUCCCUCGGCUUAACCGGGGAACUGCGUCCGAUACUGGAUGGCUAGAGGUUGGGAGAGGGAUGCGGAAUUCCCGGUGUAGCGGUGAAAUGCGCAGAUAUCGGGAGGAACACCAAUGGCGAAGGCAGC
rnacentral:rRNA from 1 species